rnacentral:rRNA from 1 species
CCCUUAGAUGUCCGGGGCUGCACGCGCGCUACACUGAACAGUUCAACAAGUCUUAACCUUGGCCGAUAGGUCUGGGUAAUCUUUGAACGCUGUUCGUGAUUGGGAUAGACCUUUGCAAUUAUGGGUCUUCAACGAGGAAUUCCUAGUAAACGCAAGUCAUCAGCUUGCAUUGAUUACGUCCCUGCCCUUUGUACACACCGCCCGUCGCACCUACCGAUUGAAUGGUCCGGUGAAAUCUCGGGACGGCGGCUUGGUCGCUUGCGUCCGACUGCUGAAACUUGAUUAAACCAUAUCAUUUAGAGGAAGGUGAANUCGUAACA